rnacentral:rRNA from 1 species
UACGAAGGGGGCUAGCGUUGCUCGGAAUCACUGGGCGUAAAGCGCACGUAGGCGGCUUUCUAAGUCAGGGGUGAAAUCCUGGAGCUCAACUCCAGAACUGCCUUUGAUACUGGAGAGCUUGAGUCCGGGAGAGGUGAGUGGAACUCCGAGUGUAGAGGUGAAAUUCGUAGAUAUUCGGAAGAACACCAGUGGCGAAGGCGGCUCACUGGCCCGGUACUGACGCUGAGGUGCGAAAGCGUGGGGAUCAAACAGGG